UACGGAGGGUGCGAGCGUUGUUCGGAAUUACUGGGCGUAAAGGGCGCGUAGGCGGCCUGUUAAGUCGAACGUGAAAUCCCCGGGCUCAACCCGGGAACUGCGUCCGAUACUGGCAGGCUUGAAUCCGGGAGAGGGAUGCGGAAUUCCAGGUGUAGCGGUGAAAUGCGUAGAUAUCUGGAGGAACACCGGUGGCGAAGGCGGCAUCCUGGACCGGUAUUGACGCUGAGGCGCGAAAGCCAGGGGAGCAAACGGG
rnacentral:rRNA from 1 species